AUUUAAAACUUAAAAAUCUCCCCUUUUAAGGGAUAGGUCGCGCGUUCGAAUCGCGCCAAGC
rnacentral:tRNA from 1 species